GAUGAACGCUGGCGGCGCGCCUAACACAUGCAAGUCGAACGGCACCCCUCCUCGGAGGGAAGCGAGUGGCGAACGGCUGAGUAACACGUGGAGAACCUGCCCCCUCCCCCGGGAUAGCCGCCCGAAAGGACGGGUAAUACCGGAUACCCCGGGGUGCCGCAUGGCACCCCGGCUAAAGCCCCGACGGGAGGGGAUGGCUCCGCGGCCCAUCAGGUAGACGGCGGGGUGACGGCCCACCGUGCCGACAACGGGUAGCCGGGUUGAGAGACCGACCGGCCAGAUGGGGACUGAGACACGGCCCAGACUCCUACGGGAGACAGUAGUGGGGAAUCUUGCGCAAUGGGGGGAACCCGGACGCAGCGACGCCGCGUGCGGGACGGAGGCCUUCGGGUCGUAAACCGCUUUCAGCAGGGAAGAGUCAAGACUGUACCUGCAGAAGAAGCCCCGGCUAACUACGUG
rnacentral:rRNA from 1 species